rnacentral:rRNA from 1 species
CAGGUGCUGCAUGGCUGUCGUCAGCUCGUGUUGUGAAAUGUUGGGUUAAGUCCCGGCAACCGAGCCGCAACCCUUAUCCCUUUGUUGCCAGCGGUCCGCCGGGAACUCAAAGGAGACUGCCAGUGAUAACUGGAGGAAGGUGGGAUGACGUCAAGUCAUCAUGGCCCUUACGACCAGGGCUACACACGUGCUACAAUGGCGCAUACAAAGAGAAGCGACCUCGCGAGAGCAAGCGGACCUCAUAAAGUGCGUCGUAGUCCGGAUUGGAGUCUGCAACUCGACUCCAUGAAGUCGGAAUCGCUAGUAAUCGUGGAUCAGAAUGCCACGGUGAAUACGUUCCCGGGCCUU